UCAGGAUUGCAAGCAGUGCGAGGGCCUGGUCUCGGCCCUGGUCUCAGCCCUAUCCAGAUGUCCGAGGCAGAUGGACCACCCGCUGAGCGUCAGAAAUGGGUCCCUCGGUGGCUGCUUUUGUGACCGUGUGUUUCAGAAGAGGAAGCUGCGGCUGUGGGGGUGACUGAACCCGGGACCCUGGGUCGGGAGGGUCCCACCUCAAGCAGAGCAGCUCCCUGGGACCCUUGGAAGCUGCAGUGCUGGGACUGGGCCGGAUGUAGACCCCCGGGUCCUCGCAGGACACCCCCAGCACCUCCCCCUUGUGCCCCAAAAACCACUUCUUAGCCUGAGGCUUCCUGUCCCAUGUCUCCCAGCUCCUCAUCAGCAUCUCUGCCCAUCCAUCCGUCAGUCUGUCUACCUGCCCCCUAGGAGCCAGGCCCUGCCCCACGGUGGUGAAGGAGAGUGACUCCGUGCUGCCCCUGCAAGCCCCGGUCACAGGGGACGGCAGGGAACAGGUCGCUGCCUGGUCGUGCCAAGAGCUUCCCUGGAGGAGCGGAGGCUAGGGCAAGAGCCUCACCCCCUUCCUCUCCCUUCCUCCUUCCUUCCCCUCCUCUCCGUGUGCCCUGCAGGUAUCCCUCUGGCCUCCCCGGCUCACCCCUGCUCCCUUCCCUGCUGGGGGCCAGCCAAGGCCUCACCUGGCUGCAGGGCCAAGCCUGCCAUCAACAGGGCAAGCAGCACAGCCUUCGUGGUCACUGGUGGGCUGUGGUGGAGAGGGCCUCAGGUGACUUUAUAUGGCCUCAAAUGGGGAGAGGCUGGACUGCCCACAGUCAACACCAGCGGGUUUCCUGGAGCCAGUGAGGGCCCCGGGGCUGGGCAGGUCCGAGUCUCCUCCCUGAGCGACCUGCACCUCCCUCUCCCUUUGUCCUUCUUUCCACCUCUGGAGGACAGAGCCUACCCAGGGCCAUAUCUCAGCCACCCCGGGCUGAGGGCUGAAACGUCCUCAAGACCCAGAUUAUGCCUCUCCCACCUCCCCCACCUCACAGUGCAAGGCCAGACAAGGGAGACCCUUUCUCCAGACUCCUCCAGGCCUCGGCCUUCCAGCCAAGGAUGAGG
rnacentral:lncRNA from 1 species